GUAAGGAAUAUUGGUCAAUGGGGGGAACCCUGAACCAGCCAUGCCGCGUGCAGGAUGACUGCCCUAUGGGUUGUAAACUGCUUUUAUCGGGGAAUAAUUGUCACUACGUGUAGUGAUUUGAAUGUACCCGAGGAAUAAGGAUCGGCUAACUCCGUGCCAGCAGCCGCGGUAAUACGGAGGAUCCAAGCGUUAUCCGGAAUUAUUGGGUUUAAAGGGUGCGUAGGCGGCAUUUUAAGUCAGGGGUGAAAUACGGCAGCUCAACUGUCGCAGUGCCUUUGAUACUGAAGUGCUUGAAUUCGGAUGAAGACGGCGGAAUGAGACAAGUAGCGGUGAAAUGCAUAGAUAUGUCUCAGAACACCAAUUGCGAAGGCAGCUGUCUAAGCCGACAUUGACGCUGAUGCACGAAAGCGUGGGUAUCGAACAGGAUUAGAAACCCCUGUAGUCC
rnacentral:rRNA from 1 species